GUUCCGACAACAACAUUUCAUAAAGCCUAACAAUCUCAUUCAUAGACGGAGGCAACACGAUAACAUCAUCAUCACCUCCCUGCAUAGAAGCCCUAAUUUCUAUUUCCCUCUCCUUCAACGCCGACUUAUAUCGUUCGAUUACAGAAGAUGACAAAGGUUUUGGUGGCGCCACGGCAGCGUCGUUUUGGAUUAACUUAGAAUUUGCAUAGCCGCCGGCUAAAGCCAUCGGAGUAGAGUUAGGGUUUAUGCCUCCGGUGGUGUGGGG
rnacentral:misc_RNA from 1 species